GAUGAAGAACGUAGCAAAAUGCGAUAAGUAAUGUGAAUUGCAGAAUUCAGUGAAUCAUCGAAUCUUUGAACGCACAUUGCGCCCGCCAGUAUUCUGGCGGGCAUGCCUGUUCGAGCGUCAUUUCAACCCUCAAGCCCUCGGGUUUGGUGUUGGGGAUCGGCGAGCCUUUCUGGCAAGCCGGCCCCGAAAUCUAGUGGCGGUCUCGCUGCAGCCUCCAUUGCGUAGUAGUAAAACCCUCGCAACUGGAACGCGGCGCGGCCAAGCCGUUAAACCACCAACUUCUGAAUGUUGACCUCGGAUCAGGUAGGAAUACCCGCUGAACUUAAGCAUAUCAAUAAGCGGAGGA
rnacentral:misc_RNA from 1 species